rnacentral:rRNA from 1 species
AGCGUACACGGUGGAUGCCCUGGCAGUCAGAGGCGAUGAAGGACGUGCUAAUCUGCGAAAAGCGUCGGUAAGGUGAUAUGAACCGUUAUAGCCGGCGAUGUCCGAAUGGGGAAACCCAGUGCAAUUCGUUGCACUAUCGUUUGAUGAAUACAUAGUCAAACGAAGCGAACCGGGGGAACUGAAACAUCUAAGUACCCCGAGGAAAAGAAAUCAACCGAGAUUCCCCCAGUAGCGGCGAGCGAACGGGGAGCAGCCCGGAGUCUGAAUCAGCUUGUGUGUUAGUGGAAGCGUCUGGAAAGUCGCAGGGUACAGGGUGAUACUCCCGUACACUAAAACACACAGGCUGUGAACUCGAAGAGUAGGGCGGGACACGUGGUAUCCUGUCUGAAUAUGGGGGGACCAUCCUCCAAGGCUAAAUACUCCUGACUGACCGAUAGUGAACCAGUACCGUGAGGGAAAGGCGAAAAGAACCCCGGCGAGGGGAGUGAAAAAGAACCUGAAACCGUGUACGUACAAGCAGUAGGAGCCUCUUUAUGGGGUGACUGCGUACCUUUUGUAUAAUGGGUCAGCGACUUAUAUUCUGUAGCAAGGUUAACCGUAUAGGGGAGCCGCAGGGAAACCGAGUCUUAACUGGGCGUUAAGUUGCAGGGUAUAGACCCGAAACCCGGUGAUCUAGCCAUGGGCAGGUUGAAGGUUGGGUAACACUAACUGGAGGACCGAACCGACUAAUGUUGAAAAAUUAGCGGAUGACUUGUGGCUGGGGGUGAAAGGCCAAUCAAACCGGGAGAUAGCUGGUUCUCCCCGAAAGCUAUUUAGGUAGCGCCUCGUGAACUCAUCUUCGGGGGUAGAGCACUGUUUCGGCUAGGGGGUCAUCCCGACUUACCAACCCGAUGCAAACUACGAAUACCGAAGAAUGUUAUCACGGGAGACACACGGCGGGUGCUAACGUCCGUCGUGAAGAGGGAAACAACCCAGACCGCCAGCUAAGGUCCCAAAGUCAUGGUUAAGUGGGAAACGAUGUGGGAAGGCCCAGACAGCCAGGAUGUUGGCUUAGAAGCAGCCAUCAUUUAAAGAAAGCGUAAUAGCUCACUGGUCGAGUCGGCCUGCGCGGAAGAUGUAACGGGGCUAAACCAUGCACCGAAGCUGCGGCAGCGACACUAUGUGUUGUUGGGUAGGGGAGCGUUCUGUAAGCCGUUGAAGGUGGCCUGUGAGGGUUGCUGGAGGUAUCAGAAGUGCGAAUGCUGACAUAAGUAACGAUAAUGCGGGUGAAAAACCCGCACGCCGGAAGACCAAGGGUUCCUGUCCAACGUUAAUCGGGGCAGGGUGAGUCGACCCCUAAGGCGAGGCCGAAAGGCGUAGUCGAUGGGAAACAGGUUAAUAUUCCUGUACUCGGUGUUACUGCGAAGGGGGGACGGAGAAGGCUAUGUUGGCCGGGCGACGGUUGUCCCGGUUUAAGCAUGUAGGCGGAUGUUCCAGGUAAAUCCGGAACGUUACUAACGCUGAGGUGUGAUGACGAGGCACUACGGUGCUGAAGUGACAAAUGCCCUGCUUCCAGGAAAAGCCUCUAAGCAUCAGGUAACAUCAAAUCGUACCCCAAACCGACACAGGUGGUCAGGUAGAGAAUACCAAGGCGCUUGAGAGAACUCGGGUGAAGGAACUAGGCAAAAUGGUGCCGUAACUUCGGGAGAAGGCACGCUGAUAUGUAGGUGAAGUGGUUUACCCAUGGAGCUGAAAUCAGUCGAAGAUACCAGCUGGCUGCAACUGUUUAUUAAAAACACAGCACUGUGCAAACACGAAAGUGGACGUAUACGGUGUGACGCCUGCCCGGUGCCGGAAGGUUAAUUGAUGGGGUUAUCCGUAAGGAGAAGCUCUUGAUCGAAGCCCCGGUAAACGGCGGCCGUAACUAUAACGGUCCUAAGGUAGCGAAAUUCCUUGUCGGGUAAGUUCCGACCUGCACGAAUGGCGUAAUGAUGGCCAGGCUGUCUCCACCCGAGACUCAGUGAAAUUGAACUCGCUGUGAAGAUGCAGUGUACCCGCGGCAAGACGGAAAGACCCCGUGAACCUUUACUAUAGCUUGACACUGAACACUGGUCCUUGAUGUGUAGGAUAGGUGGGAGGCUUUGAAGCGUGGACGCCAGUCUGCGUGGAGCCAUCCUUGAAAUACCACCCUUUAAUGGCUGGUGUUCUAACGUGGGCCCGUUAUCCGGGUUGCGGACAGUGUCUGGUGGGUAGUUUGACUGGGGCGGUCUCCUCCUAAAGAGUAACGGAGGAGCACGAAGGUCAGCUAAUCCUGGUCGGACAUCAGGAGGUUAGUGCAAUGGCAUAAGCUGGCUUGACUGCGAGCGUGACGGCGCGAGCAGGUGCGAAAGCAGGUCAUAGUGAUCCGGUGGUUCUGAAUGGAAGGGCCAUCGCUCAACGGAUAAAAGGUACUCCGGGGAUAACAGGCUGAUACCGCCCAAGAGUUCAUAUCGACGGCGGGGUUUGGCACCUCGAUGUCGGCUCAUCACAUCCUGGGGCUGAAGUAGGUCCCAAGGGUAUGGCUGUUCGCCAUUUAAAGUGGUACGCGAGCUGGGUUUAGAACGUCGUGAGACAGUUCGGUCCCUAUCUGCCGUGGGCGCUGGAGAAUUGAGGGGGGCUGCUCCUAGUACGAGAGGACCGGAGUGGACGCAUCACUGGUGUUCGGGUUGUCAUGCCAAUGGCAUUGCCCGGUAGCUAAAUGCGGAAGAGAUAAGUGCUGAAAGCAUCUAAGCACGAAACUUGCCCCGAGAUGAGUUCUCCCUGACUCCUUGA